GAGAGACUCUCUCAUCUUUCUCUGUCUUAUUUUUUUUUUUUUUUCUUGAGGUUAAACCUCUUCCCUGCCGUAUUGUCGUCGGAUUUUCGUCAGCUACCGGGCUGGGGAGACGCUUUCUUUCCCAGCCUGGAAAGUGGUUUUAAGAUCAGCUAGAUGAGAGCUGUGUUAUAAGGGGUGCUUCAUUUCUAGGGGUCUUAUACAAAAGCUUAGAAGCCAUUAACGAUGACCUUCAAAACUUUGUGAAGCUGUAGAGCUCUGAGUAUCACUCUUCUUUCGGUGGUUCCAUGGUGGUUCCCUCAUCUAUAGCCUGAUGAUGCUGUUUUUUGAGUUUGGUUUCUGAGAAAAUGGCGUCUCUAUUUUUCCCAACCAGUCAAGCUCGGCCACUCUUCAUUGCUGGCUCUUUUACCUCUUCCAAACCUCUGAUCUGCCUGCAUGUGAAUGUGACUCAGUUUUGAUGCCUCUGAGGAUGGUUUAGAAUAGAAAAUCUGGAGCUUCAGUUUGUUAUUUUACUCCUUUUUGGGUGAUUCUCCAUGUCCUCUUCCUAUUGAAGGCCAUUGCUUUUCUUGGCAGGCUACGAUUGACAUAGGCAGCGUUUUUCUUACA